UACGGAGGGUGCAAGCGUUAUCCGGAUUUACUGGGCGUAAAGGGCGCGUAGGCGGCCCGCUAAGUCGAACGUGAAAUCCCCGAGCUCAACUCGGGAACUGCGUCCGAUACUGGUGGGCUUGAAUCCGGGAGAGGGAUGCGGAAUUCCAGGUGUAGCGGUGAAAUGCGUAGAUAUCGAGAGGAACACCUGCGGCGAAGGCGGGUAGCUGGGCCGACACUGACGCUGAGGCGCGAAAGCCAGGGGAGCGAACGGG
rnacentral:rRNA from 1 species